AUCCCUUUUUUACCAAUGAGAAAAAUGAGUCCAAAGCAAUAAGUGAUGCAUUAAGUCCAUACAUUAAGUUGAGGUAAAAUUAAAUAUCUACUUCAAAAAAAGUCAAUAACUACAAACCUCUAAAAAGAUGUUUCAUAUCAUCAAUAAUCAAUAAACUCAUGGCUCCCAUUUAAAACUUUUAAAAUGUGCUGCCUGCUAACUUUUACAUUCAUAUUAAUCACACCAUUUCCCAGAUUUAAGAAUUUUAUCCCACAGCAGCUGGCCAGAAAGGUAUGUAGCUCUACUUCACAAUUAGCGCAAGGCAAGUUCACAGUAAUAAAUGACGAUGGUCCUUGAGAGUGUCAACAAUGAAAAUAGUCUCCUUUCUCCCAAUCCUAAGUAUGUUAAAGGGUCUACAACCUUAGACUGCUAUCUCAAA